AACGAACGCUGGCGGCGUGCCUAACACAUGCAAGUCGUGCGAGAAAGUUCCUUCGGGAACCGGUAAAGCGGCGCACGGGUGAGUAACACGUAGGUAACCUGCCCCUUAGUCUGGAACAACUAGAGGAAACUCUAGCUAAUGCCGGAUGAGACCACGGCCCCCUCGGGGGCUGCGGCCAAAGAUGGCCUCUGCUUGCAAGCUAUCGCUGAGGGAUGGGCCUGCGGGCCAUUAGCUUGUUGGUGAGGUAACGGCUCACCAAGGCAAUGAUGGUUAGCUGGUCUGAGAGGAUGACCAGCCACACUGGGACUGAGACACGGCCCAGACUCCUACGGGUGGCUG
rnacentral:rRNA from 1 species